ACGGGAGGCAGCAGUGGGGGAUAUUGCACAAUGGAGGAAACUCUGAUGCAGCAACGCCGCGUGAGGGAAGAAGGUUUUCGGAUUGUAAACCUCUGUUUUUAGUGAAGAAACAAAUGACGGUAGCUAAAGAGGAAGCCACGGCUAACUACGUGCCAGCAGCCGCGGUAAUACGUAGGGAGCAAGCGUUAUCCGGAAUUACUGGGUGUAAAGGGAGUGUAGGCGGGACUGUAAGUCAGAUGUGAAAUAUGCCGGCUCAACUGGCAGACUGCAUUUGAAACUGCGGUUCUUGAGUGAAGUAGAGGUAAGCGGAAUUCCUAGUGUAGCGGUGAAAUGCGUAGAUAUUAGGAGGAACAUCAGUGGCGAAGGCGGCUUACUGGGCUUUAACUGACGCUGAGGCUCGAAAGCGUGGGGAGCAAACAGGAUUAGAUACCCUGGUA
rnacentral:rRNA from 1 species